rnacentral:tRNA from 1 species
GCGGGAUUAGUAUAGCGGUAGUAUCUUUGGCUUCCACCCAAAGGGCAGGGGUUCGAAUCCCCUAUCUCGCU